ACUCUCUCUUCAAUGAAGGAGUUUCUCUUUGCCUGCCCAUGGCUUAACCUCUUGAAAACACAAAUCAGGAAGUAAAGCCUCAGACUAACUCUGGGAGAACCUGAGCCUGGACCAGAGGGGAAACCAAGGGCACUGGCUAACAGGUGGUAGGUGAUUUGGAAAUUCACAAAGCAGUGCACUUCUCUUCACAGUUUAUCAACACCCAGAACCUGGUGAAGAGGCUGUGGUACAGAGAGGUUAAGUAUCUUGCUCAAGGUCACACAGUGAAAGAGCCGAGCCUGGAGCCCAGUCGAGGUCUUCCGACCCCAGAGCCUGUGCAGAGAGAGGACCGUGCCAUACACCGUCACGGGCCAGGGGAGGACAAGCAGAGAGCUGAGUAGGGGAAAGAAGCGAGGAAUCACCCUGAAGAUACAACGUAUCCAGCAGCUGUAGGAGGUAGAGCGGGAACCCUUCCAGUGUUGGCCAAAACAAGGAAUUUACUGAAGGAUGUUGGGUGACUUGUAUAUUUUCCAGAAGGGCAGAGAUCCAAGUCUGGAAUCUACACCGCCUGAAGCAAAGCAAAACCCGGCACCAGAUGGUUCAAUGGAGAUAGCACAGCUGAUUCUGCUGGGCUCAGACAGCCUGUGGUCCUGCUGCUUUGGGACACCGGCGUCCACGACACUGCCUUUGCCAGGUAGAUGCCCUCUGCCCUCCGCUUCUCCGGUCGCCAGCUUCUGAACACAAGCCUGGUGCUGGUGCACCUGCCCGACGGGGCAGCCGGGGACUGUCUGCACCCUAGCUGCCAGGGAGCCUGGGAAAGCAAGACUCUGACUUCCCCUAAGGGGUAGCCUUGUAAGUGGGGAGGCCCCAGACAUAGGAGGGCAGGUUUCCCUGUGCAGCCCCAAAGAAUGGCAUAAGACUUUGUUUAAUAUAAGCGUGUUUUAAUUAUACAAUUAUACUUCCUCCGAUUAUAAAGGCGUGGCACGAGUGAGAGGUGGUAUGUCGUCAUCACGAAGCGUGUACUGUGCUGGGGCUGACUAGCUAGCUUCACUCUCACUUCUGUCCCUUUCCUGCCUCCUUACCUUAGGCGUGUUUGGAACUUCUGCAUGCCCAGCUUCCUCUUUAAUAAAAUGGGGGUAAUAAUCAAACCUCCCUCCGAGGCUGGGCUAAGGACUGAACGAUUUAUCAGACUGUGAGGUUUAGGACCAGAGCAUUGUAUUUGCUAUGUAGUUGUUUGCUCUUUUUAGUUCCCCAACAUUUUAUUAUGGAUGUUUUAGAACACACAGAAAAGUUUAACAAAUUGGACAGCAAGCAUCCUGCAACCUGGGAUCCUCUUCUAUGUUUGUUUUAUCACAUCUUAUCGAU